GAUGAACGCUGGCGGCGUGCCUAAUACAUGCAAGUCGAGCGAACAGACGAGGAGCUUGCUCCUCUGACGUUAGCGGCGGACGGGUGAGUAACACGUGGAUAACCUGCCUAUAAGACUGGGAUAACUUCGGGAACCGGAGCUAAUACCGGAUAAUAUAUUGAACCGCAUGGUUCAAUAGUGAAAGACGGUUUUGCUGUCACUUAUAGAUGGAUCCGCGCCGCAUUAGCUAGUUGGUAAGGUAACGGCUUACCAAGGCGACGAUGCGUAGCCGACCUGAGAGGGUGAUCGGCCACACUGGAACUGAGACACGGUCCAGACUCCUACGGGAGGCAGCAGUAGGGAAUCUUCCGCAAUGGGCGAAAGCCUGACGGAGCAACGCCGCGUGAGUGAUGAAGGUCUUCGGAUCGUAAAACUCUGUUAUUAGGGAAGAACAAAUGUGUAAGUAACUAUGCACGUCUUGACGGUACCUAAUCAGAAAGCCACGGCUAACUACGUG
rnacentral:rRNA from 1 species